rnacentral:rRNA from 1 species
GACGAACGCUGGCGGCGUGCCUAAUACAUGCAAGUUGAGCGCUGAAGGUUGGUACUUGUACCAACUGGAUGAGCAGCGAACGGGUGAGUAACGCGUGGGGAAUCUGCCUUUGAGCGGGGGACAACAUUUGGAAACGAAUGCUAAUACCGCAUAAAAACUUUAAACACAAGUUUUAAGUUUGAAAGAUGCAAUUGCAUCACUCAAAGAUGAUCCCGCGUUGUAUUAGCUAGUUGGUGAGGUAAAGGCUCACCAAGGCGAUGAUACAUAGCCGACCUGAGAGGGUGAUCGGCCACAUUGAGACUGAGACACGGCCCAAACUCAUACGGGAGGCAGCAGUAGGGAAUCUUCGGCAAUGGACGAAAGUCUGACCGAGCAACGCCGCGUGAGUGAAGAAGGUUUUCGGAUCGUAAAACUCUGUUGGUAGAGAAGAACGUUGGUGAGAGUGGAAAGCCCAUCAAGUGACGGUAACUACCCAGAAAGGGACGGCUAACUACGUG